UACGUAGGGCGCAAGCGUUGUCCGGAAUUAUUGGGCGUAAAGAGCUCGUAGGCGGUUUGUCGCGUCUGCUGUGAAAACCUAAGGCUCAACCUUGGGCUUGCAGUGGGUACGGGCAGACUAGAGUGCGGUAGGGGUGACUGGAAUUCCUGGUGUAGCGGUGAAAUGCGCAGAUAUCAGGAGGAACACCGAUGGCGAAGGCAGGUCUCUGGGCCACUACUGACGCU
rnacentral:rRNA from 1 species